rnacentral:rRNA from 1 species
UACGUAGGUGGCAAGCGUUGUCCGGAAUUAUUGGGCGUAAAGCGCGCGUAGGUGGUUUCUUAAGUCUGUUGUGAAAGCCCCGGGCUCAACCUGGGAAUGGCAAUGGAUACUGGCAAGCUAGAGUGCGGUAGAGGGUAGUGGAAUUCCCGGUGUAGCGGUGAAAUGCGUAGAGAUCGGGAGGAACACCAGUGGCGAAGGCGGCUACCUGGACCAGCACUGACACUGAGGCACGAAAGCGUGGGGAGCAAAAGGG